UGCCCCGCUUCAUGAUCCCCUUCAUUCUUUUCUUCCCUUCUCUCUGCAAACCCUAAUCACGAUACCAUGUCUACUAUACACCUCGACAACUCAUAUAAUCGUUCUAUAAUUUUUUUUCUUAAAAAAUCGCAUUCCCUUUCUCUCAUUUUCACUUCUCUCUCUUGAAUUUUCCUCCUGCCCUCUUUCCUCAUCCUCAAGCUCUAUCCACUCAUCCAUUCUUCUUCCGAUGAAUUUAUUUGCCACACCAGCAACUCCCGCCGCUACACCAUCAUCGGCUCCGGAUAACCCUACCGCCGACAUGGAUUCCUGGUUGAAGAAAUCGUUCAACCUUUGUUUUCAUCGAUCCAUACAAGUAGAACAAAGCUCGAAAAUGGUAGUAGUUCAAAGAGUCAAUCUGGGUUCAUAGGGUUUAUCGGUAUCAGGUUUGGGUUCAUGUCAGCUUUCUAAGGAGCCCCAAAACCUGAACCUUACAUGAUCAAGAUCAUCUACCAAGCCAUUAGGGAACCAAAUCAUAGAACUAGGAAGAUGUAGAAGGUGAUUGAACUCGAAUUAGGUUCCAUUUCAUUGACCAUCAAGCUUUGGUUCCAGAAUAGAAGAUUAUGUUAUCUACUUGUUGGUGGGAUUUCUAUCAGUUUCAAUUUUAAUUUAAGGUGAACUGAUGAAGUGCACGUGAGGUGUUUGAUGAAAUGCUCGAGUGAGUGUAGACAAUAAUUUUUUUCAUCUUUUGGCUGUGUAAAGAUGAAGGUGGUAAGAUAGGUCCUCUGCAUCAUUGAUUCCAGUAAUCAUAUCUUUGAUGAUAUAAAAAUAUCACGUUCUCCUCGGUUAAUCAAUAAAAGAGAAUAUGACUAAAAGCAAGAAAUGUGUGUUAUUUACAAAGAAAGAUUAUUAGUUUCUGUACCCUUCAUUGGAUUUUCUGUUUUGAGCUCUCAACCACAGGAGUUGCUUUUUGCAUGUGCAAGGAACACAAGCAUUGAUCUAGUUCAAAGUUUGGAUCAUCAAAAGUUUUCCUUGAAAGUAUUUGCUUUACAGAUUGAUAAACAACUACCAACCACACCUUACCCUAUUAUAUUAUCUUUUGAUCAUGAGUAUAAACAAAUGGCAACCUUUCAGAUAAAAAAUAAAGAUGCUUCAUGUGAGGCUGUGUUCUCAAUGACUGCAGCAAAAUAGAGGAAUAAAGAUAGAGCUUUGCUUUCGUUUGAGCAUAUAAACUUAAAGUAUUUAUUAUUCUAUUUAUAACAUGUAAAUGAAUACCCUUAAUUGUUUAUGAACUACUAACAGUUUCCUUUGUUUUAGAAUGACAGAUUUUAAUCUUGAGCUUGAGCAAGAUGUGAUUUUAUGUCUGUUUGAGUUGUUUAAGGCAGUAUCCUCAAGGUUCCAUAACAGAGGAAUGCCACAUAUGGAUUCAGUCAUGCUGCCUCUUUCCUCAAAAAUGAGUGUUAAUAAUAAGAAGAGUAAUAGGCUGUUAAAAUUCCAUCAUAUUUCUCUUCAGGUAUUUGGCUCUGCUAGUGUACUAAUAAGAAGCGUAAUAUGCUGUUAGAAGACACAUGAUUUGGUUCCAAUGGCCUGCUAAUUGCUCUCAUUAUAUACAACAUUAUCAUCGCAAACCUACAAAAUCUCCCCUUCAUUUCUUCCGAAAGUUAUAAUGAUGAUGAUGGUGAUGGUGAUGGUUUGUUCUUGAGUGAUGCAAACAAAGAUGGUUUACUUUACAGUUUCAAAACAUUGAUCAACAUGAUUACACACACACACACACACACACACAUAUAUAUAUAUAUAUAUAUAUAUAUAUAUAUAUAUAUAUAUGUAAAGAGAGUGGAUGUGAGGUGAGGUGGGAUGCUGGUGUAAGGAACUUGCAGUACUAGCCUCAAAACAAAACAACACAAGCAAGAAAAAUCCAAAUAUUUUCUUGGGAUUAUCACACAGUAUGUUGCUUCACAGACAAUUGAUUCUACUAACAAUUCAAUCUUUUGACAACUCACUUGAGAGAGAGAGAGAGAGAGAGAAUUUUAGAGAGAGGGAGAAAGAGAAGAGAUAUAUUGUAUAUUUAUAAAGUAAUUAGUUCUGCAUAGAAGCAAUCUUGUGCAUAGACUGAAGAGCUAUUUUUUAAAUCAUAAACUUUCAUUCCUCAAAUGGAAGUGAAGAAAUCAAGUAAUCAGAAAGGCUAUCAUACCUUUUACCUCUUUUCUUUUGCUUCCACUGUUCGAUAUACAUAUGUAUAGCACUAGCAUAUAUCAUCAAUGAGUUGGUUAAAGGAUAAUUAAUGGAGUACUAAUUGAAUAAAAUAGUGUACGUGAGAGUCAACCCAUGGAAACUUAAUUGGUCACUCAUUUAUAUAUUUAUUUUUCGAAUUAUAUUUAUAUAUAUAUUAUUAUUGUUGUUUUUUUCAUACAUACCUUGUAAUUCUAUUUUUUAAAAUUAUCCAAGUAAUGUAAUUAAAAAAAAUGGUAUACCAUUCUAUGAUUAGCUCAUCGGCUUUUUAGUUUUAAUAUGACGAAUCUAUAGGGUUUUUAAUGAUGUAUUUUUCAAACAAUUUAGUAUUUUUGUGUUAAGCCAAAACAUUAAUAGUCAAAUUAAGCCAUCAUAUCCCAUGGGUUUCGCAAGGAGUGUGGGAGUUGGCAUCAAAGAUUUCCUCUCAGUUCCAACCAGAAGCUUUAUGAAGAUUCCAGCAGGACUCAUCACAGGCCAGCUGCAAGCAUCCUAGAAGUAAUAGAAAAAACCACACGCAGCAUACGAAACCGUGAAAUGGAUGCCCAAUCCUUCCAAAAUGAAAGAAAAGAUAUGCACGUGUCAUUUGAUGUCGCAAACUAGGACAACAUCGAAGCUAUGCCUAUAGCAGGAAAAAAAAUACACGAGUGGUUAUCAGAGUUGGACACCAUAGCCAAAGAAGUUGAAGUUGAACUAAUUUCAAGAGACAUAGGCUGCCAUUUGUUGAAGUUUUGGAGGCAGUGAACAAAGUUCUCGUUGAAGUUUUGGUGCUUAAAUGUGAGUUCUCUAUCUUCAUUUUCAACACAUUACAAUACUUUAUAUUCCAAUUUACUCUACAGAAGCAGCUAGAUCAUCAUUUCCAGAUCAUUGGACUGUUAUUGGAGUUCUCAACCAUGUUCUUCUGGAAAUAGGCAAGAUACAAGUAUUGGUUGAAGUUCUCUCAUUUUUCAUUUAAAAAUAAAAAAUAAAAAAUAAAAAAAAACUUUUUUUGCAUACAUUCACUAAAUAUCAUAUACAACCUGUAUAAAUAUCCAAUUCCUUGUUCCUUUGCAGAUUUUUAAUUGCAUACGAAAGUUGAUUAAUCAUUCUUUGGGAUGUCUUUGAAGCUCAAGUGAUUAUAGUUAGAGGUGAUAAUGUUCUUGAACUAAAGAAUGGAGUUGUUGGCUCUGUUGAUCGUAUUCGUUUCCGUGUCUCACAUUCUCACGUGUAUGUCAAGGGCGAAAAGUCUUUUUUGCCAACAAGGAAAGGGAUAAUAAAACCCAAGGCAGAUGAUGAUGAAGAUGUUGCUCAUAGUAUAACAAUGGCAUUGGCAGAAGCUUCAAAGAAAGGUAGUUCUCCAAAUAGAAGAGCUUCCAGUCUAAUUUCAUCACCUUCUCAGAGCGCUGAAAGAAUGUCUAUUACUAGACCAUAGUGGCCUUCUUCACUUGCUUGCAUUGCCCAUGAGAAAGAAAAGUGAGUUAUAAUUCUACUUUUUGUCAUAUAUAACAUAAAAUAGUCUUCCCAACUGUUCGAAAAGAUACUUUCUCUUCAUUGUUUUAGAGUUACUGAACUUAAAAUUGAGCUUUUAGGUGAAACUUCUAUAGCAUCAACUAUAUCAUAUCUUGAUAAUGCAUUUGUGUAUGUUGAAUCAAGUUAUGGAGAUUCCCAGGUAUGUAAAAACUUUCAUCACAUAAAAGUAUUAUAUUAACAUCAAUAAUGUCAAAUGCUAAUGUAAUUUAUUAUUAUUAUUUUUUACAUAUUACAACUUAUUAAGUUGAAUCUCCAACCUGAUACAAAAGGCUCUUAUUUGGAAGUUCUAGAAAGGUUUUUGCUCUAUAAAUGUUGCCACUGCUAACGCUACUCAGGUAUAACCAAGGGUAUUUUGGUCUUUUAAUAAAUAAGUUUGACUAGCCUUUUUAAUUUCCAUAACAAGUGCUAUUGGCUACUAGAGGUGACCAUAUGGUUUACCUUGAAAUUGGUGAUGAUGUUUUAGUAGAAAAAAAGCAUGCAGAACUGAAAUAUGAUAUCUCAUGUCUUGACAUAAACCCCAAUGGUAAAAAUCCAAAUUAUAGUAAUCUUGCUGCAGUUGGGAUGUGGAUUGAUAUUUAAUUACAGAUACCUUACUUGUGCCUUUGAAGGGGUAUGAUUCUCAUCACAUCACUGAAGAACAUCUAGGUGGCAAAAUAAUAUCACGUUCUGUUCUUCUUUGUGCCUUUGAAGGGAUACCUUACUUGUUGUGUGCACUUGGGGAUGGACAUUUUUUGAACUUUUUACUCAACACAAGCAUAAGGAAAUUAACAAACAGGAAAAAGGUCUCACUUGGGAAAAAAUUAAGAAUGUUGAAGCUGGCUGCAAGAGAUGUUGGAGCCCUUAGAGAACCCAAGGACAAACUGGAGAAGUGAGUUGAAGAGUUGACAUGGAGAUUAGACUUUGAAAAGCAUUUGAGGGUAUAUUUUUUUAUAUUUCUUGUACCUAAUUAGUUUGUAAAUUUUUGUUUCGACUAUUGAUUUGUUUUAUCUUUCCAUAGAACGAUUAUUUGUAUGACAUUAAAUUUUAUGCAAUGGAUUGUAUUUUUUGUAUAUGAUAUUUUAUUUUC